rnacentral:rRNA from 1 species
GACGAACGCUGGCGGCGUGCUUAACACAUGCAAGUCGAGCGGUAAGGCCCUUUCGGGGGUACGACGAGCGGCGAACGGGUGAGUAACACGUGGGUGACCUGCCCUCAGCUCUGGGAUAAGCCCGGGAAACUGGGUCUAAUACCGGAUAUGACUUCAUGACGCAUGUUGUGGAGUGGAAAGCCUUGUGCGGCUGAGGAUGGGCCCGCGGCCUAUCAGCUUGUUGGUGGGGUGANGGCCUACCAAGGCGACGACGGGUAGCCGGCCUGAGAGGGCGACCGGCCACACUGGGACUGAGAUACGGCCCAGACUCCUACGGGAGGCAGCAGUGGGGAAUCUUGCGCAAUGGGCGAAAGGCCUGACGCAGCGACGCCGCGUGA